UACGGGGGGAGCAAGCGUUGUUCGGAUUUACUGGGCGUAAAGGGCGCGUAGGCGGCCACCGCAAGUCGACUGUGAAAUCUCCGGGCUUAACCCGGAAGGGUCAGCCGAUACUGCGGGCUAGAGUGCAGAAGGGGCAACUGGGAAUUCUCGGUGUAGCGGUGAAAUGCGUAGAUAUCGAGAGGAACACCUGCGGCGAAGGCGGGUUGCUGGGCUGACACUGACGCUGAUGCGCGAAAGCUAGGGGAGCGAACGGG
rnacentral:rRNA from 1 species